rnacentral:rRNA from 1 species
GACGAACGCUGGCGGCGUGCCUAAUACAUGCAAGUAGAACGCACAGUUUAUACCGUAGCUUGCUACACCAUAGACUGUGAGUUGCGAACGGGUGAGUAACGCGUAGGUAACCUGCCUGGUAGCGGGGGAUAACUAUUGGAAACGAUAGCUAAUACCGCAUAAUAUUAAUUAUUGCAUGAUAAUUAAUUGAAAGGUGCAAUUGCACCACUACCAGAUGGACCUCCGUUGUAUUAGCUAGUAGGUGAGGUAACGGCCCACCUAUGCGACGAUACAUAGCCGACCUGAGAGGGUGAGCGGCCAAACUGGGACUGGAGCACGGCCCAGAAUCCUACGGGAGGCAGCCGUAGGGGAUCUUCGGGAAUGGACGAAAGUCUGACCGAGCAACGCCGCGGGAGUGAAGGAGGUUUUCGGGUCGUAAAGCUCUGUUGUAAGAGAAGGACGGGUGUGAGAGUGAAAAGUUCACACUGUGACGGUAUCUUAAGAGAAAGCGACGGCUAACUACGUG